UUGCUCAUUUGUUAACGGGUCAGUGUGAGUGCUGUUUGCUUUGGUUCAGCUGAGUGUCACUCGGAGCACUCUCUCUCUUCUCGUUCGCAGGAGGUCGGACCGGGGCGCCGCCACCCCCAUCGGAGAGCCGAACGUUGUCUUUCCUGUCGUCGCAGGGGUCGGGGUGGGGCACCAACGCUCGCAUCGAAGGUAGGGGCCGGCGGUGGCUGUCAUUUUCUAGUGAUUUUUUGGGGUAUUGUCGUUCGUAAGAUUUCAGUGCAAUUUGAGGCAAAUUUCAUUGGCAAAUUAGUGCUAGGAUAUUUUUGAUCAUGUUCAAGGAGGUCCCCUAGCGAAUCCCCCACUUAAGCUUCACGAAUUCGUUGUUUCUUCAAAUUUUGUCCUUCACCUAGGGUUUGCCAAAACUCAUAAAAUUGAUGCUGGUUUCCUGAUCUUUAGGAGUUCUUCUUUCUGGAUCUGUUUCCCUUGUUGAGAGGAGCUUGUGGUUUAAAUUUCGCGUGAAUCGAAGUUGUUUAGAUCGAGUUUUGGCAGACUGAUGUGGACCUGGGACUGCUGUUUGUGUCUUGCUCGGUUCUGAAUUUUUCACCAGCUGCACCUCUAUAUCCGGAGCUGUGAUCUGCUCUUAGGCAGAAUAUCAGCCGUUUGUUUCUGUUGAUCUCUGCACAGCAGUUCUACUUCUCAGUUCUAUCAAUCGAUUCAGACUGCGCUUGUCUGAAUUUCCUGUGAAGCUUAAGAUUUUUAUGAAGUUGUUAGUUGCCGUGCCAAUUUGCUGCGAAGCUUUGGAUCUGUGUGCCAGAUUGGAUUGUCUGAUCUGCUACAGCUGCAGACCGGCAGUUUUUUUUUUCCUGUCUCUGAUUCUCUUUCCAGCUGCAGCUUGUGUUCUUCUCUGUUUUUCAGCUUGUGCAGGUAAGCAGCACAAGUGCGGUGAGGCGUUUGGUCAUCAGGAUUUUGAAGAACGACCUAUACAUCGGAGCCCUUCCUUUCCAUGUUAUCCCAGAUUUGAAAUAUCAAGACCUUGUUAGCACUUCUUAGUACCUUUCUCUGUGCAGGACUCUUUUACUUCUUCUAUGAUUGCUGGACACACUUGGUGAUUUAUGCUGUUUAAUUGACCUACCUUUUCUUGAAUGUUCAAUUGAUCUCUCUCUCCUUUUUGCUGAACACUGUUCCCUUAACAAGGUUGCUACAUGACCCCUCAUCAGUAUUUCUCAAUAUUGUGCAUGUUCGUUUAUUGUGUGUGUUAUUCUAUAUAUAGGAUUAACAUGAAGAAGUCGUGUUCUGAUUACAAAGACAAGUGGACUAACAUGAUGAAGCUGUGUUCUAAUUACAAAGAUAAUUUUGUUGAGAGGCACGGUGUCAAGUUGGGUCUGAUGUCCUGCUUUGUUAAGAUAGCGACAACCAGUGUAAACAGUUUUGUUCAUUGUGUGUCUGCUUUGUUAAGUUCUCCCUUCUUUUUCUACCUUGUCUGUGUGCUUGUUUCAUUUCCUCGUGUUCUAUUCUAGAUCUCACUGUUUUCUUUCUGCCUAUGUACGUGUCAUUUCUUGGUGUUGCAAGAGAGCGGUUGAGGAUUUGAUGAUGGGAGAACUCAGGUAAAGAUAUCCAAAUCUGUUUGUUUACUUUCUUUUUACCCAUGCAUUUGUAUGAUCUAUAAUUUCUUUCUCUAUUCAUGCUAGAUAUUUACCUGAAUUCUAGAUUGAUAAAUUAUCACUUCUAGUCAGUAGAUUGGUAAUGUGUCGCCCACCAGUCCUAAAAAUAACAUGAUGCAGAAUGAAGUUUGUAAUUUGUGUUUAACUAUAAAAUCACAACUUACUUAUACUAGAAUUAUACCGUAAUGUAGUGCUAUAAUUUUGUUUUUAUUACUGUAAAUAUUCUAUUGAUUUCUUUCCUGUCUGUGCAUUAUUUAGCCAUUUAUUUAUAGAGGGAUAAAAGUCAUGGGCAUAUAUAUGUACCCAGAGGGAGGAUACAUCAGGUUUGGAUUUGAAAGAUGUUUAUAUUAUAUUUUAUAUUUGCAUUUACUUGUUUUUCAAGUGUCAUGCAGGUGCAUAGAUAUGAAUGCAUGGUUUGUGAAUUCUAAUGAUAAGCUGUGCUGACGAAUCUCCAUCCCAGAAGGCCCUUUUAAUAGUUUUGUUGGGGGAUAUUUGCCCAGUGAAAAGUCACUGAUGAUGCUACAUUGCUACUUGAAUGCGUGAAAUGAGUUUAGGAAAUGCACACAUAGUAACUUCGACAUGUAUCUUUCUUCAAAUUUUGAAUUUGUGUUCCUGUAAAUGCAGUCAAUAACCUAGGAUUGUUUUUUCAAUUUUGAGUGAAAUCGGUGUAAAAAUUGGACGGACGGACAAACAGUGGAUAUAUAUAUGCUGUUUUCUUGAA